UGAUAGACAACAACCGGCAUUAUGCUACGCAUAGUCGAAGCCAUGACCAAAAAAAAAAAAAGUUACCACCGUUCUAGAUCUGACUUUCAAGACUAACAAUGUACUGACAAAAUAGGCCUCAUCGCUGCUGCCAUGUCCACAACCACAAUAUAUCACACUCUCACUCUGUGCAGAGCCGCAGAGGUCCAUGGUCAGCUGAGGAAGCAUUAUUUAGUCGCAAUUCCGGUGAGAAUUAGCAUGCGAAUGACAAUUUUUUGCUUUUUAGUUGGCAUAUAUUGAAUAUUGAAUGAAUUCUUCAAUACAUAAAGAUAGGGAGAAAGAGUGUUAACCCAAGCAAACAACCAAACUCACCCAUCUCAUGAUCUCGUUGCAGGUGGCUAUGAAUUGAAAAUUCAGGGCACUGUUGACAGGCUUAUCGUUCUGUUGCUAUACAUUAUAAUUGAUAUUUGUUCGGGAGGCAUCACCCUACCUUUCUGCAGUUCUUGAUUUCUAUACUGGCCGAUAUUGGAGUUUUGACAAGAUGACCCAUCGCAAUGUUGAAGCCUCUAUGGUUGUGAAAUUUGGAGAGCAAAAAUCAAUUGCUGGCAUUAUGAUGGAGAGAGGUUUGUGAUAUUCAGAAGAUUCUUUUAGCAUAUGAUAUGAAAGGUGAUCCAGUAUCCUUAUGCGUGAAUAGGCUAGCAUCCACUUGAGAGACUAUUUAAAGUAAUUUUGUUGUUAACAAAUUAUUGUUCCUUAUUCUAAAUGGUAUAGAGAUAAUUAACUUUAAAUUAAAGGAGGAUGUGAAUAUGUGAUAGAAUCAGUUUUUUA